UUGGAGGGCAAGUCUGGUGCCAGCAGCCGCGGUAAUUCCAGCUCCAAUAGCGUAUAUUAAAGUUGUUGCAGUUAAAAAGCUCGUAGUUGAAUUUCGGGAUUGGCGUGUCGGUCGUGCCUUACGGGGUAUGAACUGGCGUCGUCGAUUUCUCACCUUCUGGAGAAUCACGAUGCCCUUAAUUGGGUGUCGUGUGGAACCAGGACCUUUACCUUGAAAAAAUUAGGGUGUUUAAAGCAGGCAUUUUGCUCGAAUACAUUAGCAUGGAAUAAUAAAAUGGGACGGCUUGGUUCUAUUUUGUUGGUUUCUAGGAUCACCGUAAUGAUUAAUAGGGAUAGUUGGGGGCAUUAGUAUUCAAUUGUCAGAGGUGAAAUUCUUGGAUUUAUUGAAGACUAACUACUGCGAAAGCAUUUGCCAAGGAUGUUUUCAUUAAUCAAGAACGAAAGUUAGGGGAUCGAAGACGAUCAGAUACCGUCGUAGUCUUAACCAUAAACUAUGCCGACUAGGGAUCGGAUGAUAUUAAUUUUUUAAUGACUCAUUCGGCGCCUUACGGGAAAC
rnacentral:rRNA from 1 species